GCCUUCUUAGCUCAACUGGUAGAGCAUGUGGCUUUUAACCAUGUGGUCGUGGGUUCGAUUCCAACAGAUGGUG
rnacentral:tRNA from 1 species